rnacentral:rRNA from 1 species
UACCAGCACCCCGAGUGGUCGGGACGUUUAUUGGGCCUAAAGCAUCCGUAGCCGGUUCUACAAGUCUUCCGUUAAAUCCACCUGCUUAACAGAUGGGCUGCGGAAGAUACUAUAGAGCUAGGAGGCGGGAGAGGCAAGCGGUACUCGAUGGGUAGGGGUAAAAUCCUCUGAUCCAUUGAAGACCACCAGUGGCGAAGGCGGCUUGCCAAUACGCGCUCGACGGUGAGGGAUGAAAGCUGGGGGAGCAAACCGG